UAUAGGUUCAUUUCCAAUACUCCUUAACUGCCUACCCUUGGUGAUUAUAUCCUCUGCAUCCCAACCUCCUUGCUUUCUUUAACAGUACUUUUGCCAUCAGAACAGCUUAAUUUGGUGUGUGUGGUCAUCUCCCAACUGUGUAGUUGCCUCUUCUGUUGAUGUGGAACCAUUUACUUCCAUUGAACCCAAAGUGAUAGAUCAAAGAACAGGUGCAUUAUUUAUAUCAUUUGCAGAAUGUGCUCUAGUCACAAUGCAAUGGCAGAGCCUUUCGUCUGAACUUGUAGCAGGCAAAUGUCUGCUCAUUUUGGUGAAGGAGAAAUACACGCUUGCAUUACAGUGAGAGUGAUUCAUAUGGACCCAGCUUCAUGUCACAAACCUCAUGUUGUAGGGAAGGGAGUUGAUAGGCAGAGUCCCACUAUUCUGCAUCGUGAAGCUGAGGCUUCCAUUCAGACUUCUGUACGCAACAGAAAUUGAUGACGUCAGAUUAUCCCCAGAUUAUUUUACAUGACUUCUGCCACUCAGUAGGAUAUCUCCCAAAUUAGUGAUCCCAGCCUCCUUUAGUUCCUUGGACCUCACAUUAAUAUUUUCUAGGAUGUUGGCAUUUGGAUAGAAAAGGAAGAUCUCCACAUCUGAAGAAUAAGCUCCCCUCACCCCGCCACAUGUAGCGGAAUAUCCUUGUAGCUCAGUGACAGAUCAGCUGCUUUACAGGAAAGUUCUGGGUUCAGUUCCUAAUAUCUCAUCUUGCAGAGGUGGGGAAGACCACUGCAUGAAGCCUUGAAGAGUGGUUGCUAGUCAGAGCAGACAACACUAGGCUAUACUGGAGCAAUGGUGCAACCCAGUAUAAGGCAGUUUAACAUGUUUAAUCUAAUAUAUGCAAAUGACCAGUUGCAGAGGGAAGCUGGAGCCCUACUUGAUGCUCAAAUGGUCCUGAAAGAGUUUAGGGUGGUUUGGGAGUUGUAUCAAGACCUGUGUGACAUUCCUCUCUCACUCCCCACCCCUUUCUGCCAGCCUGCUGUCCCCUCUACUAUUAGCUGGGAGCCUUGUGCCACUCCUAUGGCCUGGAGUGGGAGGAGUGGGUGACAGGCACUGCCUUUGGACUCUGGCCUUGAGCAGCUCAGUGGAUUUUGCCCCAGGCUUGCUGCCUGGGAGAUGGGCACCAAUUCACUUCUAACCUGAAAGAGCUCUAUGUGUCAGUGUCCCAAAAGCAGGCUAGGGCAGCUUGCAAACGGCACUGGGAAGGAGACUGUGAGAGUCCUGAACAUGCCAACUUCCAGGACCUUGCCCAGAAGGCUGCAGAUUUGCCAACUGAGGAGAAGAAGACUGAAUCGCAGUCAGCAGCUGCACAGUGUACACAAGACACAGUGGUACCUUCCUCCCAGACUCAGAAGGUUCAUUUGCCCAUUGCCAAGAGCAAAAGGAAGAAGGCAAAAGGGCUAUUUGGCUGAUGCAAAUGACUCUUCCACAGAGACAGAAAUGCUGUUGUUGUAUUGAACCUCUCCCUCUUCCUGGAACAACUGGAAGAGAGAUGGACUUUUCUCCUCCAGAAUACAGCUAUGCCACUCUGUUCCUUCCCUCUCCCCUCUUUCUUGCCAUGUUGGGCACCAUAGUGGGCAGUAUCCCCUUCCACACUACAGCUGUCUAUUGCCCUACCUCUGCUUAUUUUUUUCUUAUUUUCUGGAGUACAGAUACUAGCCUUGAAACUUGGAGAUGAUGCAUUCAAAGUAAAAAGCAGGGGAAAGAAAGUGGGCAGUGAUAGGAAUCCAAGAUUGAUAGUUAUCUGGGCUCCUACUACACCUAUUCUGUCCAUAAAAUCUAUACCCCACUUUGUUAAUGUGUGUGUAAUGAAGACCUUGGAUAAAAAAGUUAGGCUUACUGAUGCAGUGUCUUUUACACAUGCACUAUACAAUGCAGCAUUGCCAGCAUCAAUCAGCUGAACCACAUCUUCUUUUUUCUACAAGCUUACAGCCUUCUUGGUGGUAGAUAAAUGUUUAAGAAGGAUGUGGACAUCGUCUAACAAAGGUGCAAAACCCAAAGCAGGGCAUGGGUUGGGGUUGAGUUGGUCUGUGUGAUUUGCAUGGUCUUUCUUCUGUCUCUGCACAGAAUCUAUGUCUCUUAAUCUGUGUCUUCCUUCUCUUCCACUCAGCACUUGCUUCCUCUCAUCCUUUGUUUAGUUCUACUCUAUUUUUCACAAAAUAUACUGCAGAGGAUUAAAUUUUGAUGAAAUGAAGGUACAUUAUACUGAUUCAAACAAAUUCACACAAACAUAAUUUUAGCCUGGGCUCCACUUUCCUUGAUGCAAACAUUUGCUUUUUUAAGGCACAGAAUAUUCUCUUCCCUAAAUAUCUAAUGUUCAGUCUGUGAAACCUUAGUCCUUUGACUGAUCAGACUUUUCCUGGCCUUAUAGCUAGAGAUAGGACAUAACCUUCUACCUUUAUUUUUGCACAGAGGCAGUCCAAGGGAUGCUGGUGCCUGAGGUAGAAAAAUGACACCUUCCCUAGUAAUAAUAAUGAUAAUAAUAAUAAUUUAAAUCUUUUGCUGCCUAUCAAUAUUCCAAAACUUGCCAUAUACAAUGUCUAACAACAAGUUUAGAACUGCAGCACCCAGAACUCAGAGCACAUAUGGGGUUCUCUUGGACUUUUUGUUUAAUAUCAUCAUGUUUGUAAGCUGAAGUUCCACACAUCCUGAAAUAUUUUCUGCAACAUAGAUCUACACAACUUUGGACUUGCCAAGCUGAAUGACAUCUUUCAUCUGCGGAUCGCAGGGCAGUAUUUUUAAAAAUCACCUUUCUGCCCCAUACGAGUAUAAGGGCUCACUGAGAUCUCAGUACAUCUAUUGCUUUUGCUAUUUGAGACCACAAGAACAGUGGGCUUGUAUAGCACCUGGCAAUGAUAGCAUUAGGCUUCUGGGCUCUGUUUGGCUUGUGCGGUCAUGAGUUGUACAGGACUGUGCUGUAAACCCUUCUUACUCAUACAGUUCAUUACUACAUAGUCCUGUCUUCACUGGAGUACAGUUCUCUUCUUGUACUGACAUUUACUCCAUUCUUAUGCCCUUCUUCUAUCCUUCAACCUGCAGAACUUCACUAUACCAAACCUCCAGAUUUUUAUAGCAAAUGUUGUGUCAUUUGAUGCCCAUGAAGUCCUAGUGUUGUGAAAGGAAGCAGUUUACUGUAGCUGCAAAGCAGGCUUCUAACACACUACCCCCUCAUACCUGCUUCCAGGAUCAAAAGGUGAAUAAAAACAGAUUGCUCUUGGCCAAAGGAAUUACAGGCUAUCAUUGCAAGCAAGCUGGAAAACCACAUCCUAGAGGCCAGAAGGGGAAGAGGCUUCUGCCAUAGCAAGUGAUGCUAAAGAAUUACCUUCCCCCAAAUGCUGUCCUGCCCAUUUUGGCUGUCAGUCAAGUAGUGCUCAUGCUGUCCUGCUGGGCCACACCCAAUAGCCACAGAACCAUUCACAAUGAAAUUAACUCCUCUGACCUUAGAGGGAAUUAAGCUAAAAAGUCUCUUCCUUUUCCUCCCCAGUGAAGCCAGAAUACUUCAACUCUGCUGCCUGUUAACAAGAUACUGAUAUGAAAAAUGAAGAAAUAGUAGAUUCAGAGUUCUAGAAUUAUCUAAAGAUUCAUCCUAACAUAUUGGGGUUUGCCACUGACAUAGUGCGACACAUUGUGCUAUGGUUCCCACUGCAGAAACAGAGGGACAAAAAGGUUUCAGUGAACUGAUUGUAGAGUCUUAAAUUGUUUAACCAGAACAGUACAGUUUUACAUUACUGAAUGUUUUUAAAAUGAAAUUUGGAGUUUCCCUGUUCAGGGAAGUUUUUAAUCUGUGAUAUUUUACUGUAUCUUUG